rnacentral:tRNA from 1 species
GGGGGUGUAGCUCAGUGGUAGAGCACUUGCUUAGCAUGCACGAGGUCCCGGGUUCAACCCCCAGUAUCUCCA